ACUAAUGUUUCUGUUACCAUACAAUAUUUUAAAAUGAAAGCACUUUUUAUGUAGGACCUCAUUGUACCUAGAAUAAGCGGAUGAGAAAUACUGAAAAGAGCAAGUUGAUCGGAAUGAUUUUUUUUUUUAAAAAGGUGGGUCAGAGAACAAAUAGCCUGUGUAUGAGUGGACUUAGCUUAGGGUUUUUAUUGGUCCAAAAUAUCCCCGUGCAUCCACAUUUUAUAUUUGUGCACAUGUAUUUGCAUAGAGGAAAUGGACUGAUAUUUCUUUUUGUCUUUAAGAAUUCUGUACUUGCACAAAACAAUCUGGUGAGAAAGAGGCUUUUUUCUGUGCCCUUUUCUAAGGAUUUCAGUGUAUUUUGAUUUAGAACACUGCCUCCAUGAGUUGUUUGUUCCAAACCCUGAGCAUAAAUAACGAGUUUGACAUGUUAAUUCUGCUACGGUCUAUUACUACAGUCAGAAGUGCAGAAGAGGGAAUGGUAAUGAUACUUUGGCUAGGUUGAUUGUUUGGCUAGAAGAUUAUUUUGGACUAGCCUUUCUUAGUUUUCUGAGCUCUGUGCAUUCUGCUGUGGGGGAAACAGCACACGUAAAUACCAUUUGCAAAGACACUGCAGCUACUUGCAUUGUUAAAGGUCUAAUUUCACUGUAAUGGACAAAGUACUCUUUGGACUUGUCUCUGUAUGCUACUGUUGUUUUAGGGAUUUCCUUGGGUUUUGGUAGUAAAACAGUAUGAAUUUUAACCAACCAGAGUACGGUCAGCUUGAAAGAUGAAAACUGUUCAUAAAUUACAUGACCCCUGGCUUAUAGGUAUGGCAAACCUAUAGAAUGUUUCCCCCGGUUCACUGAGUGUGUAUUCAUUUCCAGUUAGCACUGGGAUUCCUCUGAAGAGUUCACCUUAUCGAGACACUGAAUGUAUGUGUGAAAUCUUGUAGACUGUUGUAUAUUUUACCUCUGACACAUGGCACUAUUGUCAACCCUUAAAAAUAGGGUAAUAACUUUAAAAUGCCACGAAGAUGUUUAUUUCUUUGGCACCUAGGAGAGUACAUAUGCCACAAAUUCUGUCUUUACAUGAUGUUAAAACAUGUAUGCUUCAGGAGAAGCUAUGAAAACCGGUGUGAGAAGAGCUAUCCAUUUGCUUUGAACUAGUAUUAAUUUUGACAGUUUUUCAGGGAAGCGUUUUUUAAGUAGACUAAUUUCUCUGAACAGGUCUCAAAAGUGAACAGUAGCAAUUACUUUUAAAAUAGUAGUUAUUGGACAUGGAACUGUUCUGGCAACAACUAACUACUUCAAAAAGCAGAAAUAUUUAAAAGGACUUUUUACAUCAGCUUUUCAUGAACAGUGUUUAUAAGGACGGAUAGAAAUAGUUAUUUAUCAGCUAAUGUUCUAAUUUGCCUGUGUUUUUUCUUAAACAAUUGUCCUACUUUUAAUCCAUACUCUGUUCUACCUCCAUCAUCAUGAUAUCUAAGCAGACUGUUGGGUAUUAUCUGUGUCCCUAAGUGUUUGGUAUAUUUAGUAGCUCAUUAUUAUUCUAGGUAUGAGUAAGCUGGCGUGGUAUUAACAGUGAAUAUUAACCGUUUUGACCAUGUAGCUUACACUGUAGGUUUGUCCUAAAUGUUGUUAUUCACACACUUCACUACUGAAAAGCUUUAAUCCAUAGAUCACUUACAUACUGAAAAACCUUGCUGUUUGGUCAGGGAUGGGAGGUAUUACCAUUUUGUGUUUUGUUUUUGUUCCACAUCUAAAUACAGCUGUAACCCUUCACAUACGGUGACAUUGUUUUUUCGUAAUGUGAGCGAGCUUCCUCUUACUUCCAAGGAAAAAUGCCUUAGAAAUUAGGAAUAGCCCAUACGUCCAUAGUAUCGUGAGCAUGAUGAAGACUUUAAUACAUGUAUAGCUCUGUUGGGGGGUGAGGAUAGCUUGACCAUAUAAAUAGUUUUUUCUCCCCUUGAGCAAGAGGUCUGUGUUCAGUUUUCAGCUGCUUAUGAAAACCUCCGAUCGCUAUUCCUCACUUAGCAUUCCUAGCUCUAGUGUCAGUUUGGGAUGCUAAAUGUGGCUUCUUAAACUUGUUUUCGAGAUAAUGCUGUUCUUGAGGGUAGUCAGUAAGCCGUCUUUGUAUAUUGAAGCUUGAAGUGAUAGUGGUGUUAAGCUUUUAAUAAAAUUUGGUUAUGUUUUGUUUCACGGUAUUCUGAUAUUUAUACAAUUUGCCCGUUAUCUUUUUAUUUCUUAAGGGCAUUGUGUAAAGUCACAGCAGCUACAUAGUGAGCUUAUGCGAAUGUCUAAAAACAACAAAAGAGAUGUAACACUAAAUGCUGAAUGGUGUUCUCUGAUGUGGCUUUGAAAAAAGAGUUUCCCUUUGAUGAAUUUGAAGAGGAGCUGGCCACUUUCUGCAGCACUGAAUGCUGACUUGUGUCAUCCUUUUGGAGAGGUUUUUUUUUUUCAGCAGGCUUGUGUCACAGUAAGCACAGCUAAACAGCUCAAUAGUUGUUCCGUUUCCUUCACACGUUGUAUAUAAAAGUCCUGGCAUGAAUGUUCCCAUAAAGUUCAAAGCAGACAAAUUUGUAAUGUGGGUUGGUAGCAAAUGGCUACAAACAAAAUAUGGCUUUAUUAGCUACUUCUAAUGGCCUGUCAGAUUCUAUACAAUGCUUGCUUUCCUUCUCCUAAAUGCUCUGAUAUCUGAAAGGUUUGACCUGGAGGUCUUUAACCAUGUGGAGUCACUGAGAGCCCAAAUGAAAAGUUGCACAGAAUAGUGCUCCGAGCACUUUUGUUGGGGUCACAAUUAGAAGGAAAUCUCAGGCUUUUGAGAAAACAUGGGAGUUAGGUACUCUGUGAAGGAAAGGAAGUAAUAAACAGAAACUGUUCUCUCUUAGAGUGGAGGAAUAAAGGGGGAGAAGCCUGAAUGCAAUUGUCUGGAGAACAGCUACUACCGAAUAUAUUUGCUGAGAUUUAAGGGAUAAUAGCCAAAUACACAUUUCUGCUAUUGUGACAAAGAUAGAACAGACUUACGGGAAAAACCUUCCAAAUGAUAUAUCUGCAAAUUUGUUGUUGCAGUAAAGGAGCUUAUGUCAGUAUAGGCUGUGUGUGUCUGUGAAGACUAAUACUUUGUUUUGCCUUUAAUGAGUAAUUUUGUAAAUGUUCUUGUUGGAUUGUAUUGAUAGAACGAAGGGCGGAAAACAUGGGUGAAUUUAAUUUUUUAUUGGCAUCAGCAUGAAAGCAGUUUCAGAUAGACAUUGUUAUUUUUUUUUUGCCAUUACUUUGCUUUAUUAAGGUCCUUUUUUUGCUCAGCACCAAGCGUGGUUGUUGGAGGCGUGAGGUCAGACGGCCUACCCAAGGUUGCCAGACUUUUGAAACGAGGGUUUCUGCCGAUUUCUUCUUGUUGCAACCUGUGGGUGAGGUUCUUGAGCUGCGGUAAGUCCGGGCGGUUGCAGCCCUGCCGUGUGCCCUAGCACCUCCUCCACCCUCACUGCCUAGCUCAGAAAUAAUCACCCUUCUUAUUUCUGGGUUAGUUUUUGACUGAAUCACUGUAAUUGUGUGAGCAUCUGUGGUACCACAGAGGGGGAGAUGGGAAUGAUAGGUACAGAGGGAAAGGGGAGAGUGAGACUGCCAUAGCUUUGGUUUUAGCCACGUCCUAGAGGACUGCAUGGUCUUCCUGGAGGGGUUUGAGAUGCUGUCAUCCCGUCAGCUGAGACGUGGUGGCAAAACAGUGCUCUUAGUCCUCCGCACAGCAGUCACCGGGCUCUAAACAGGCAGAGGACGGCUCGAUCAGAGUAAGCUGUAGUGAAAUCACAGCCUCGGCCUUGUAAGCUAGCUUGGGCAUUGUAUCGUGGCUCCUGGAGGUGUUGGAGAUGGAAGGCUGGAUCUGGAGUGGGGGGAACUGCUGCUUUGCCAGGUCACUCAGACGUCAGUGCUCACACGUUAGUUCUGAUACCACAUUUUCACUGAGUCUUUUCAUGGAGGCAGAGCAACCUGUAUGUGACACAAAGCAACAGCAAGCAUGCUGUUCAUAUACGUGGAAAUGCACGGAAAGGUUUAGGAAUCCACACUCCCUGUCUGAUGUCCAGAAUAUGAAGUAGAUUGGAAAAUUGUCUCCAUCAAGAAGAGUUGAAAACAGUUUCCAGUAUAGUUGGAGUAACUGUAGUUAAGAGUUAGUAGGAGAUGCCUCUUCUUUUCUCAGAGGUUAAACUGCUGGGAUGAAGGACUCUGGUGACAUUUAUACAGGGCUUAGUUCAGUAAGCCCUGAUCAUGGCUGAGGGUGUGGGCACUACCAUGAUGUAAACAUUAAUUACCACUGUAGCCCCUCUGGUAAGGAAAAAUGAUCAUAAAAAGAGAGAUAGUACAGCAGCAGUCUCACUUUGCAGACCGUGUCAAGGUAAGCAGAAGUAGAAAACUUGAUUAAAAUAAAAGUGAUAUUUUCAAAUCCAGGAUGUUGUUUCUGGUUUAAGAAAAAAAGAGGGGGAAAAUCUGUAAAUGGAUCCCUGGUAACUCCCGGGAGGUAAAAGCAGUGUGCAGUUGAUAGAGCUGUGGUAGCAGUUGUGUCCUGUAGCUCUGUGCUAUUUGUGUCUCCAUCUGAAAAUAACUGGGAGUAUGUUAAACCAUGAACAAGAAGGAAACACAUGUAAUACUUGUGAAUUAAAUUCUCCAUUGUUUUUGCACCAAGUAGGAUAAGACUGGUGUGCCUCUUUCCUGCUUUCCUUUCUUUUUCUGCAGUGUUGUAAAAUAACUGAAUGAUCUUGUUUUCCUUUGUUUGGGUCAAGAAAUUUUAGCUGAAAAUUGUUACUCUGUGAAAGAAGAUUAUUGACUCAACAAGCCUUCAAUUUUCAGUGAAUAACACUCCCACCCUCUAGCUUCAGGAACAUGUGGUGCAUGCAUUCUAUUUUAAAGUACAGACUGUAAUUUAAAACUGAGGCAGUUUGAUGCCCCACUGAACUUUGUUUAAGCCUGGAAUAAAAGGAAAAAAGCCUCAAGUUGCAAAGAAGUGACUAAGCUUUCUCAAAUGCUUUUCUUAGCUGUUAUGCAUGGAGUUGGAAAAAGUUGCUAUUUUCUCCAAGUCAUUUUAAUUCCAGAUCAAGCGCGCUUGAUCUAGCUUGUUUCUCUUUUCUUGCCGUUCCAUGUAACAAACCUGUUGCUAGAAUAAGCCUCAUGCAAUCCGUAUGUAUAGAAAUACAAAGUGUAUGCAUUUGAGUGUUUCUGAGGUGCAAAACAUUGGUGCUGGCGUUCAUGCAGGUUCUGGACAUGACCUCCUGUGUAUGUCCUGGAGUAGGUGUGAACAGUGGGCCGAACUCAGGGCAGCUUCACUGAAAUAAUAUCCGUCAUGAUAUUAUAGGAGGGAUGAGCUUAGCUUUGUGUGUUUGUGACAUUGAAAAUCUUGGCCCACACAAUGCUCAUGCGUUUUUACAUUUGACUUCUGUGGGGGCCAGGAUUUCAUGUAGGUGAUCAAACCAAUUCCGUCAUAGAGUCAGCCUAUAUAUUCAUUUUCAAGCCCUAUUUUUGGGCAAAAGUACUAUCAAGGUAGUGCAGAGCACCCCUGAGCUUGUUGUGUGUGUAGUGGUAAAGUGGAACACUGAAACUAAAAUAGUUGAUUAUUGAAUUUAGUAGUCUUGCUAUAAAAAUUAAGCUUUGUAAUGUGAAGAGACAGUCUUGUUGUUAAUCAUUUGUGUUUUGUGCUUUACGGGAUUGCUUGGUUUUGCUUGAUAGGAUGAUCAGAUUUAUAUUAAAAACAGUGCUAUGGCUGCUAUUGAAGUAUGAAAACUAAUUUCAUUAAGUACUGUAAAAAAAAAAAAAGCUUGGUUAUUCCAUCAAGUUUUCAGUUCUUAAAACACUCUGCAUUUAUAAUGGUUACAUUAUCCCUGUAACAACAAGAUCACUCAUUUAGGAUCUAAGAAAAUUUAGAAAUGCAAAAAGAAAUACUUAGCCUGACCUCUACGUGAAACUUACUUGGGAAACCUGAUAAGGGAUUAUAGAUCCCAGUAGUGGAUAAUGUUGCAAAAACUUGUAUUUAAAUAGGCCAAUAUUGUCCUAGGUGGAAUAUUAAAGUAUUAGUAGCUUUUUCCUGCAGUGUUUUUUUGAAGCCAUUAGGAAUUGCCUCGAUGUGCUUUUUGCCUCCAAAUACCAAGGCAGUAUUGAUUUUGACUCGAGAAUUAAAGAAACCAGAUCAAGUCUGGGUGGUUGAAGCCUUUUUCCCUUCCAGCUGUUCCCUCCCCAGAGGCUGCCACCCACAGAGCAGGGCAACUGGCACAACAUGGGGGUGAGCUGCAGCCCCCUGCCUUACUGAAACGUGCAGGGCCCGGAGCUGCUGCAGCACAGGCGGCUCUGCAUGCACGGCCCAGAGGUACCCGCCUGCUGCACCAGCUGUCCUUUUGGCCUGCCUCAGUUUCCAAGUCGGUCCCUUCAGGUUGUGGAUUUGGGAAUCUCAUUCGAAAAUGGCCGGGGCUUUGGAUUUCCUGGGGGGUGAUUGGUUGUUUUUUGGAUUUGUUUUUUUUGUUUUUUUUUGUUUUUAAUAUUUUGCAUACUCUGUGUACACACAUAUUGUUGUAUAAAACGUGCAUGCCUCAUCUGUUCGGCUAUUUGUAAAUUUUGAGUUGAUAGCAUGCUAUAAAUUCUAAAGCUUAAUAUAAUCACUGGCCCAUAUUUUUUGUUCAUGCCUGUGUGAACUUUGGGAUUGCCAAACAGAAAGUAAGACAAAAGAGUAUUACUGGAAUACCAUUUCAGGAAGUACCUGAGACACCGUAAUUGUGCCUUUUUUUCCCUUUAUUUUUACCGCAAAUACUCCUGUAAGAUAGGAUAUUUUCUUCCUCCUAGAAUGACUCCUUUACUUGAGCUCACCAGCUGUCCGGAGAGGUGACCUCAGCUUCAUAACCUUGACUAAACACAGUGCCUCAUUCCGGCCAGCAACAUCUGAAGCCUAACAGUAGAUGCCUUUUCUUUUUCUUCUGCCAUCCGUCCCUGCUUACUUGGAAUGAGCUGGCUUCUGGUGCUAUUGUUGCAACUCUCCUUUUAAAAACAAAACCGAAAAAAAACAUGACUAGGCUUUGAUCUGAGGCUCGCUUCUGUGCAAGCAGGUGUGGGUGCAUUUACACUCAUAGUGUUAAGGUUUCACAGUGCUUUUCUACUGUUGAUGGUGUAUCCACAAUUGCUAGGGAUUUGGGUACAGCCACAGUGUAAAUGCUAGGUGUUUGUCAUGUGCUACUUGUUUUGUAGUACUAUGCUGCAAUUCCAGUGAAGUCGGCCCUGUAAUGUGAGGCCGUUCACAUGUUUUGCUUUAUUUUUCUGAAGUUUGAAACUAUUUUUAAAUUUUUUCUCAAAUCUGCUUUCUUGAAAUCUAAUGUCUUCUGUAACGCUUAAUUCUCUUCAAUUUUCCUUCCUUUGCUGUAGCUGCGUUAGAUUCACUAUGAAGUCAUCCCGUAAAGAAGACUAUUCACGAUGGCUUUUGUAGUCUAUGCGGUGUGCACUGUGGUGCUCUGCAACUUACUGCAUCAAUUUUUGUUAAUGCCAUACAGAUUACUAGGUGCCAUUUCCCCGUAAUUCCAAACACAGCUACAGUCCCAAAGGACCGAGGGUCCCCUUUGAAUUGGCAAUGUCAUUUCAGGGGGUGAAACAUUGUAACGUGCUGAAAUCAAGAUAGAGAAGCUGGUAACAUCAGGAGAAGGGUAAGGGUACUUUCAGUUCGCAGUGUUUAGGCUUUUGAUCUCUUUCCUUCCAUGCAAACAAUUGCAGAUGACCCUUUUAAUCAUCUCAACCUAUGAAAUGAGACUUAUUGUGCUAAAUUAGAACGAGGACCUGAAUUUUGAUGCACAUUUGAAUAAUUGCAUUAGUAUAGAAAAAUAUGUCAUUCUGGAUCAUUUAUUUCACAUCUUAGUUAAGUGGCAUGAAUUUAUAACUGAACAUGUUUUUUUUCACUUCUCAAAAGGGUAGUUCUCUUAACAGUGUGUCUUCCACUAUAUUAUUGAAGCUAACGUUUGGGAAGUAAUAUAAAGAUAAGCAUACAUGAGAUUAUGUAUUCAUAUGUUUGCAUGUAAUAAUACAUUAUGCAUCUGUAAGCUUUAGAAAGGUUUGCUGAAUACACAGCAGUGGACCUAGUUAAGAGAACAAAGCUUAUUUUAUGUCAUAGCAUCGUAAGAUGUAUGCUCGUGUGUACAUCUAUAUUACUGUAAAUGAUGAACAGCUUUUGCAUAAAAGGUAAUGAAAGAGGUUUGAAGCAUUCCUGUUUUUUUUAUUAAACUGCAAACUUGAGAGUAGCCAGUACUCACUUUCCACAAGUAUGGGAAUAAAGGAACUGAAAGCGAUCUGAGAUUUUUAGACUCACUUGUAAAAUCAAAAUAACUCUGAAAGAUUAUAUAGGUAUAUAAAGUGGUGUAUGGAUUAAGUGCACACGUUAGCCCUAGUGAACUUGUACGUUAUAGGUUAUAGCAAUGCCAAGUGUUAUCCCUCCAUUUUAGACUUUUAUAGUGAACUGAAAGCCUUACCAUACUGCAAUGGAGACUUAAGAAAAACUCCAGAUUCUCUUUCCCUUGUUUAAUUUACAGACCAUGUCAAGAUUUUAAUAAUAGUGCUUAAUGAAAACUUUAUAAAAGCCUAAUUUUUCCCCAUCCUCUUUGUUUAUUGUAUCAUUAGAUGCCUACAUGAAAGUAGGAAAAAAAGUUGUUCAGUGCAAUUUUCAGCACAGUUCUUCAGGAUUUAUUGAAACAGGGCUAUAAAAUUGUAGGAUCUGUUUUGUUUUGUUUUGUUUUGUUUUUUUAAUAAGUAAAAUCUCAUAGUUGUGGCUUCAUUUGGAUUCUCUCUUAGUCCAUUUUCCCUCCAUCUUCACUCUUUUCCUUUGUUUUGCUUGUGCCUUUACAGAAGGCUUAGGAAGACUGUAUAUACACCAUACUGGUGUUUUUAAAUGACUGCCAAUUCUUCCGGUGUGGCUCAUUAGACAUCUUGUCCUGUUGGAAAUCACAGUAACAGCCUUUUUGUUCCUAUUCUGAGGUAUGACAAAGUACAGAUAUUUUUUUUUUGGCUCUGGAAGACUUCAUCUGCCUCUGGCCAGAGGGCUCUUUGGCGGUCGGACUGCAGCAUGGGGUGCGAGGGCCUGUUUAGGCUGCCCAUGGAGCAGCCUUGCUCAGCUGCAAAGAGACAGAGGUCACAUACCAGAUCCCAUGAAAGGCACUUCUUACAUAUACUUACAGACACUUCAGCUCUUUAGUCUUUUGCUGGUUAGAUUACAGAAGAACCUGUCCAAAAAAAAAAAAAAAAAAAAAAAAAAGCGAGUAGUGGUUUCUAGUGCCUGCUUUUUAAUGCCUGUUUUCACAGCAGUACAGGUCAGAUUGAAGUAAAUCCUGUGGAACCUUUACCUUAUUUUUGCCAGAAAAAUGAACUUUCCCCUCCUGUAUAAUAAUGUUGAUUGCUUGACCUCCAAUUCCAUGGAGAUGUGGUCAGAGGGCUGUAGUCAGCUAGCCACUCAGGGUGAGAGCUAUCUUCUGUCACUUACGGUGUGCAGUGACACUACAGGUUUGAAAUGUAAUUAAAGCACCUAUAGGCUGACACUCUUUUUUUCCUCACCACCCACAUCCAUGAAAAAUGUAAUUUGGAAACAAAACAUGAAACAGCUAUGUGAAGGUUUUUAAAAAAAUAUUCAGUUAAAAAAAAAAGCAACCCUUCUCUUAUAUUUAGUCUUUAACUUUGCUAGAAAAGCAUUCCUUGUUUAAACUAAGACAUUGUGCAUAAGCUCUGUGCGUUAGAAUUUAUCACAGGCUCCAGAUUCCUGCAUGCUCUAAAAUAGAUGCCAUGGGCUCAGUUUUGUCAGAAGCCGGAUUUUGUAGCCCCCGAAGCUUGUGCAUUCGUGAUUAGCCAAGGGCAGAUCGGGCUGCUUAAUGCGUCCCACCAGCUCCGUCUGGGUUUGCUGGCUGGGUUCAAGCACCCGUCCCAGCCUCACCAGGGUGGGUGACCAGACCUAGCAGCAAGUGCUGCCCCUUGCUGCACCGUGGAUGGGGAGAGCACGGUUCGGUGCCACGAAGGGCUGUGCAUGGCUGCUCCUGUGGUGAAAAGGAGCCAGCAGCGUGCUGCCUGCUGUGGCACCCGGGACCUAGGGGGCUUUGAACGCUGCGGGGAGGGAAGCAGAGCCAUGCUCCCCUGUGAGGCCUGGGCCAAGCAGGCCGAUGAGAACAUUUUGGGGCCAUUUUUGCUCGGAUCUGCACGUCUGAAAGCCUUCUCCUUCCCUGCGAAGGUUUUUCUCCACCGAAUCCAUCUUGCGCGUCACCCGGCUCUUUGAAUCCAGCACGACCCGGAGUGGCAGCCCUCUCCCCACGCUGCGUCCCCACUACACUCUCAACCCGGAGCCCGGCGGCCCGGUCCCCCCUCUUCUCCCCGGGGCUGCCCCGUGCCGGCGGACAUGGCGGCGCCGCCUUUGAAGCCGGGCGCUCCGGCGGCGUUGCCAGGGCGACCGGGCGGGCAAUGGCCUCCGGCACCCCGCGCCCGGCCCGGCCCGGCCCGGCGGCUGAGGGGCUGAGGGGAUAGGGCGCAGUUCGCUCUCCCAGCCUCGCGCUGGUAAAUGCAGAGGCUUUUCGCUUUUUUGUUGUUCUUCUCUCCCCUCCUUCGGUUUAUGCAUUAUUAACAGCCGCUUUCCUGUUUUGCUUGUAACGUUUUAUGGGCUUUUUUUCAAACACGUAGUCAGAUUUGCUCGGUUGCUCCUCUGUUCGCCGGGACUUAACCCCUUCUCUCCUUCAUCUUCACAAACUCGCAGGGAGGCCUCAAACGCUUCCGACUGCUCCCAUUUAAAAUGUUAAAAACUGGAAAAGGAUUUUUUAAACUAUUUUUUUUUGAAGUGUUCUGGAAAGCAGCACAGAUUGCUCAGCUUCUGGCGUUUCACUGAAGUCAGCACGCGUGAGCCUCGCUGCAGCUGCGAGGGGUUCAAACCAAGCAAGUAUUUUGGCUGGGCGCUGUAAUGGCUGUGCCCGUUUCAUCCCCUCUCCGUGGCGUUACCCCCUUCUCUGCAUAUGCAGAGUUUUGUUAGCAGCCUUCAGAAGAGAAGCACCUCGUGGCUGAAAAAUUGGAACCAAAAACCCCAGAACAAUUCCAGGGAUGUGCUGUUUACCCCCAUCACCUUCCUCUUUAACACUGAGCUGGCAAAGUGCAUUUAGAUAGGUAGAAAUAUUACAAACACAAGCUGCAGGCUUUGUUUUGCUUUUCCAGAGCUCUAAAAUAUAGCUUUCAUUUUAGUCUCUAGUAGGAGGCAUAUAUCCAAGGGCUGUCAAAUGCUGUGGAUACAGGGAUUCAGUUGUCCCUGCAGACACAGUCCCUGUACAAAAACUUGGAGGCUAACAAGCAAGCCUAGCAUUCAUAAUUCCCCCUAGCGCCCUCAUUUUUAGGUUCUGGGUGUGGGAUUGUGUAUUUGUUAUUACAAGGAGGUACUUACCGGCACCUAGAGGACCUUGCUUUGUCCGUCUGAAUCUAGCCCAGAUCCUGCUUCCCCAGAUACUUCAAAACACAUCUCAGGAAAAAAACAGAUGUUCCUCAAUUUUUGUCUCUUUUUUAUUUUUCCAACAACGUGUAGUGAUGUUGAUAUGAACAAUACUUCCAUCUUCAACGCUCGGUGUCUCAAAGCACUGCAUUUGUUUUUUCAUGUAGCUCUUUUGUGUGAAGCCAACACGCACCCUCAGUGCUGGUUGGAACAACUCAAGUAAAUCCAUUCCCUACCUCAGGGAGGCCCUGGGAUAGAUGGACGAUGGAGAGUCCCCCUAGCUCCUUGGCCACCUGAGGCCAGCACAAAGCCCAUCUCUACUCUUGGCCUACAGCAGCUGUGGGCUGUGUCACAGCCUAGCCUGGAGUCAGUGUUUUGUAGUGUUGUAGAACAUGGCAAUAAUGUGGUUUUAAAAGUUUUUUUUUUUUUUUUUAAUGUAUACUUUUUAAAGCAUGUUUAAUCUACUCUGCGUGGAUAUUGUACUGUACAGCUGAAUAUAUUAAAUAGGCCGGACUGGAGGUUUACUCUCAUCUCCUGGCAUUAUGGAUAUGAAUUUCAUCCUUUGAGUUGCAUUCCCCUUGAAUGUGCAAAUUUUGGGAAAAUUAGAGAAAACAGUUUACAUUCCAUUAAUAAGAAAUUACUAAUUGCUUAUAAAACAGGCAUAUCUUUAUCUGCACAGAGCUUUUCAAAGUUGCUGUUUAAUCUUUUUUCUUUUUUAAUCACUAAACAAACAUGUCUCAGCAGUCGCUGCAUGUGAAACCAAAACCUGGACGUGGACAAAAAGCAAACAUCCUACACUAAUUUUCAUUAGCAUAUCCUAUCUCCUAGAACAUUUAUUUUUUCAUCUCCUUGUAAAUUGAUUUUUCACAUGCUUGUGACUGAUAUUUGAACUGUGUGUUUGUAGUAACUGACUUCUAUAAAAGCUAGGUCCUGGAUCUCCCAACAUGAAUAUAUUAUGGAGGUGACCUAGUGGGCCUAUAGUUAAGGUUGCAUGGAGUUUUCACUUAAAACAAUGUUUAAAUCCCUUAAUUAAACAUUAAAACUUGCGCAAAUUCUCAAACAUGGACUGUUUCAAUAAAGAGGAUAAACUUUAAUUAUUUAGGUACUCAAUGUUCUUCUUAGUGCUGUAUUUGCAGAAUUCAGAGCAACUUAAAAUUAUGCCUUCCUCAGAUUUUUUCAGAGUUCCUAGUAUUUUCAGUUUCUUCAUUUUUUUAAAUCUUUUGUCUAAGACAUUCAUUGAUGCAAGUUUUCAUAUCCUUGCUGGCUUCAUAGAACCAUAAAAAUGUACAGAAAAUGUUUUAACAAAAAGCAGUUCGGUUUUAUUUAUAAUAAUGCACAAUACAGAAGAGCGUAUAGAAGAUACAAGUUGAGAACAGUAUACUGGUUAUUUGUAGCUAAUACUAGUCUUUUACACCAGUGAUUUGGAAUCAAAAGAACAGACUGGAGAGUCUAUUAAAAAGAGAAGUACCACAUGGAAGCAAAAUCCAGAUCUGUGCCUAAAAACUAGUAGCAUCUUUUCUGUGCAGAGGAUUGUUUCCAAAUCAGUCAAUUAACACCAACUGCAGUAGUCCCAAACUGGUGUAAACUCCCCUUUGCUUUCCUCUAUCUACUUAUGCCUUGAGGGCCCGGUUCAAACUUUGCUGAAAUCAGUCUUUCACUGAUUUCCAUAAGUUUUGGAUUAGGCCAAUUAAUUCUUAUGUUCAUUCUGUCCAGUUGUCACCCUGCUCCUCUGCAUUAACAGAUGUUUCGAGCCUUUUUCUUUGGACAGGGUCUGUAAACCUACCGUUUCCAUCUGUGCCUGCUGUACCUGUAGUGAUCAGCGAGCACGGUUCCCAUUGUUAACACUUGCAGCCUUCUGGCUGAGCUAUAAUCACAUUCUUCAGCACAGGCGGAAGUCCUGCUGAAAACAGUGUAUUUGCAAACAGUUCAUAAAUGAAGAAAAAUUCCUUUAGAAACCAGUAUUACACGUGUAAGUAGUGUCUGUAUCCAGACUCCUUAGCCUCCAGCAAUUCCUCUAACUAGCUGGAAAUACAGACAAAAUGGCCAGGAAAAAAAAAAAAAUUCCUCAGUAGCUUACAGUGUGUGGAAAAUUUUUCAUUUAAGUCUUUUAGGCCAGGAUGUGUUUUCCCAUCGUUUCCAGCUGACUGCCACUGUGGUCACGUAUGCUUGUUAGUUCAUGUCUCCUGUCCAUUGAAACACUGCAGCAAAUACAGUCUGCAAAAAUGCUUACAUGAGAAAAUGUCGUUUCAGAGUAUGCUAGUUCUGGAAUUUUGGAAAAUGCAAGUGCUAUGGCCUGUGAUUUCACACCAAUACCAUAAAAAUUAAAAGUUACUUAUUAGUUUGAAGAAUUGCUUAUUACUCAGGCAUUGGAUGAGGAGAGAAAUCCACAGGAAGUUCUUGUUACCUCCACCAUAUGAGUAGGUUCUCAAGCUCUUCCAGAGUAGGGAUUGAAAUGUUGGAAGUGAAAAGGGCCUGUUGCAAGCUUCACAUGGAGAAAAGUAAGUGAAACAAGCUGGUGAUGGUCAUGCUUUUAACUGACUCUGCUGUGUGUGAGCAGACUGAAGCAACGCGUGGCAGGGAAGAAUACAUGAGAGAGCACCUGGGAGUGGAAUAAUGCAGAGUCAAACGUUUAAGGGUUAGAAUCUUUGGCAGUAUCACCAUUUUUUUAUAUAUUUUUUUUUUGGGGGGGGGAGGGGGGCUGUUAGGCUGUGCAAAUUCUCUUCAUUCUUUUUGUGUGUGUGUGUGUGUGUUUGAAAAAUAGGUCCAAACACACUGUAUACGUUGUGACAGUAAGGGGUUAAAGAGAUGUCAUUAUGCAUUCUUCAGUAAGUGCUCUGCAGUCAGCAGUACAGAGCAAGGAUUUUAUAGAAGCUUAAAAAAAAAAAAAAAAAAAAAAAAGGAAAAGAAAAGAGAUGACGGAGGGAGAAUAUGGAGAGAAGGUCAGAUCCAAGGAUUCUCCUAGGGUUUUCUCAUGUUUGCUCUUCCUUUGUGGCUCGUUAUGCUCUCUCCUGGUAGAAACAGAAGAAAGCAUCAUGGCCUGUUGGUUCCUCCUACUGAUAAUGUACAUUUGAUCUUUUUGCUUUGUGGUAGUGGUGAAUUUAUGGAUUUAGUUCCUGAAGGAGUUCUGAGCCAUCCUAGUGCCUGCCACGGUCCUUGUAUAUUCCCCAGCUCUUUUUUAUUACAAGAAGUGCAUUGCAGCCCUGUGAACACCGAACAUUUCAACAAACACCCUUUUUCAGCUGCGGUUUACCCGUUUUGUUUGAGAGGAUUUGAAUUUCCAGCAAACCCAUCUACUGGGAACAGUUUGUUUUGGACUGUUUGGGAGUGAUUCGGCUGGAUGAGUGGAAGUUCUUGCACUCAGUAUUUCAGACCGACCUGGCUGGUAAAGGUUGUGGGUUGUUCUGGAACGGCUGCAGUAGCAAAGCAGAGCAGCACUCAGAACGGGCAGGACGCUGGGGACGCGGGUCAUCCCGCACUUCCAUCCUGGGAGCUAGCCCGAGCUCUGACUUGCUGAGUCAUUCAGUGUACCAGAUCCUUCUUUUUUAUUGAACCAAUUUGAUUUGCAGUUGGAUUUCAACAUAACAGCAAAGCCUUUCUGGGAGAUAUUUGUGUGUUCAGUAACACAGUAGUCUGAAAAACUGUUUUGUUUUUUUUUUUUUUUUUUUUGCUUUCUCUUUCAUUUGAUAGAAUUUUCUUCCUUUUUUUUUUUUUUUUUCUUGCGUACUUUCCCUGUUUAGUUUUUAUGGGAAAGAACUGCAAACAAUUAAGUGAAUAGGAUUUCCCUUGCCUCAUUCUUUCCUGGAGAAAAAAAAAAAAGAAAAUCCCGACACCUCUCCCCUCCCCCCAACAGCUCUUCUUUUGGGUUAAGGAUCCUUAGACUUGCCAUUGACCUUAUCAGGACGGGCUCUUGCAAUCUCUCCUGUGAGAGGGCAGGGAGAGUUUGCAAGUUUACAUAGUGGUGCAGAGUGCCUGGCAGUAAGAGCUGCUGGGUUAAGUUAGUUAAUUGCAAGGGUCUUCUGAAACGCAGCGUUAGCAAACAGUCUCUACCCCUAAGGACAACGGAAACUUUUCCUCCCACCCUUGUUAAAUGCCGGUUUAAAGCUAUUGAUUUCUUUCCCCUAGAAAAAUAAAAGUUAACUCCCAUCAUGCUUCUCCUCUCCUUCUCUCUCUUUUAACUUUCUUAUUUUUUUCUCUUCUGUCUUUAUCAUUUUAACGCUGGAAAAUUCUGAAAGGAUUGCUGCGAGGAGGAAGGAUAGCCUGAUAAGUGUAUUUCCUAAAGCUUUUGGCCUUUCAAGGUUUCUCUUAUGGGUAAGGUUGAACUGUGCCUACAUCUUGGAUUGAGACGACAGGGGAGUAGUGUGUAAUACUUUCUGCUUCCGAUAGCUCUUUGUUGAUCUAAGAGAGAGCACUUAGAGAGUGGUAGGUCAUUUAUGUGAUUAUGAAGAGCACUUGGUUCUCUCUUAUUCAAGAUGGAAAAAUAAUAGUUUUUGAAUAAGAGGUCGCUGUCAAGAUGACAUUGAAUGUGACUUCUCUUCCCUCUUCAUUCCCUCCCCCACUAAAAGAAAAGCAGCGAUGCUACUACUCAGGAUAGGGCUACAUUUUUCCAACUGCACGUGUCUUUUUCUUUUCUUCUCUUCUUUGUUCAUUUUAUUCCUUGCCGUUUCCUCUGCGUAUAAUGUUUAUACUCUCUGAUGGUGUCUAGGUAUUUAUGGUAACCAGAAAUUUAAAAAUAAAUGUAAUGCAUGUAAGGUUUUGUGUUGUUUUAAGUGUUGUUUUUCAACUUGCAAAAUUAAGCUGUGAAUGUGUGAUGUGGUAUCUGCUUGGGUGACAGAUGUCCAUUCCUGAAUGAUGCUGUGUUCCCUUUGUGCUUUAUUUAUGGAGUGAUUUGCUUCUAAAAUAAUCUCUUAAUCUUUUCCAAACUACAUUUCUGUAUAUGCUCUUUUCACAUAUGCCAUCAUUUAGGGUAACAGGCUAAAAACUGAAAUUACUCCUAAAUGCUUCAUUUCUAAAGCUAAUAAUAGUGAUAUAACAGUGUCAUUUUUGGCUUGAUGUGUCCUUUUAGAAGUAGGUUAAGUGUGUAGUUUGUUUUGGCUUUGGUGUUUUCUGUGCAUUUGUUUGCUGUAGCACUGCCAUAAUGAAAUUGUAUUUUAAUUUCAUUCAUUUACCAAAUGAAAAGACAACACUAAUUUGUCUUUUUUUCAUGUUAGGUUAGCUUUAAUACCUCAGAAAAGGAGCUGUAACCCCAAAUUAGGAUGAAAUUGCCCAGAGUACAGAACAAAAUAGAUGUUUUAUGAAACUGAUUAACAGUUACUCUAGGGUUCAUUUGCUUAAGCAGGUGUUGAACAUCUGUCAAUGCUCUGUUUCAUCACAGAUUUACUUUUAGUAAACUUCAUGGUUUAAACUUGGAGAAGGGCAGGUCAGCGGAAUAUGUGUAUUUGUAGUUCCUUACAGCGGUAAAGACUUUUUAAGAUUUUCUUAUUUGCACUCUAAAAUCAAAUCUCUAUGAAGCAUGUUAAGAUUUUCACAUGUUUAUCUGUUGACACAUUGAAAAGAACUCACUUGUACUUUUGAAAUAGUGUUUUUUUGGAAAACCAAAGCAAUUUUGGAGUUGGUUGGUUGAAAGACAGCGCUAGAUCCUUUGCUUAGGUUUUCUUCACUCCUAAACUACAAAUUUUGUACAGUAUAUUUUUGAAAAACUAUGGGUAUUAGAAAUGAAAUACAAUUUAAAUUUCUUAUCAAGACAUCAAAGUUAAAUAGGAAGUGUUGAAAACUGUCAUGAUUAUUAGUCAACCAUCAGAAAAAGACAGAAAAUUGGUUACAAGCCUGAGAAGGAAGGAAGAGUGAUGCCAUUGGUCUUGGGUUAGCAGGCUGUAGGAACUUCUGUCAGCUGGACCUGGCCUCCCAUAGGCAGUAAUUUCACUUAAGUUCAGUCAGAGAUUUAGGAUUUUUUUUUGGACAGUAGUAGUUAAUGUUUUCUUUCCUACCUAUGAAACCUCAGGAGUAGCUGUGGGUACAGCUGGCUGGUAUCGAGCUGUCAGCACCGACCAGGGCAGUCGUGCUGGCUGCCGCACAUCGCUUCUUACUGGGGCGCUGGCCGUGCUUGACCUGUGAAGCUAGCAAGAGCUGCCUUGCUCACAGUUUUUGGGGGAAAUCCACUCAGUUCCUUUAGGAUGUUCCUUCCCAGAAACAUGCUGCUGACAGGGCAAUGUCAGCAGCAGCUGGAGCCGUUUGGUCCCUCUGGUGUCGGGGUGGGACUGGACGAACGUUUCGCUCCUGUCAGAGUAGGCCUUUGAGGAGGUUCUCCCUGUUGUGCCCGUGCUUCAAUUCACAUCACCCCGCAGGCACAGAGCGAGCUGGAUUCCUUCUGGAUGAAAUGAAACUGCGAAAAUGUGCCCCAGGAGCCCACCCAGUGGGCUGUGGGUGCUCGGUGCCAGGGCCAGCCCCAAGCAGGGCACUGGUGCCGGCAUGGCCUUCCCUCUGCGCUGCCUCUCAGCGCUUCACCUCGCGUCCGGAGCCAGCGGCCUUUGAAGUCUUUGAGUGACUUCCAUUGGCUUUAAUAGGCUUUGUGGCAGGCCCUAAUGAUUUGGUUGUGAUCUGAAAAGGGAUGUGCAGGGGCUUUCAUAUAAUGAGAAAAUGUUACCUUUUAAAGAGCCGGGUUCAAACAGGCUGAUGAUCAGUUCUCGAGUGGAAGUGAGCUCCUUGCUGUCUCCUGGAAUCCUUUUGUCCCUAUCAAAAAAAUAAAAAACUCAGAAAAUUAGUACUCAUUUUGCAAGUACGGUCUGGGGUUGAAAUUAGCAGAGGAGUUUUAGGUCAUGGAUUGAACUGCACUGACAAGCAGUGGAGAGGUUUGCACAGUACAACUCUGCGCCUCUCAAAAUUGCACGGUGAGCCCCUCGUUCUCGUGAGCGGUCCCUUUGUUCACGGUUUUGAAGUGAAAAGGCAGGAGAGAGGAAGGAAAAACCAAGCUUAGUUCACUCGUACUAACAUUGCUCUGGGAUAAGUAGUGCCUAGGACUAAAAAUCAUGGCUAACUAAAAAUCACAAGUUUGUUUUUAAAGGAGAAGGUGGAACAGAGGCCAUUUCACUGUCCUACUAAUUGCAUAACAAGACUACCAGUUCUUUCUAUGUCCCUGGGUCUCAUAGGUUCCCCUCUAAGUUUUCUCUCUUUUCCAGAAAUGUUGCUCAAAUAAUUUUGUGUAAUUACUUUUUUUUUUUUUUUUCUCAUGUAAGGUAUUCUGUUUGAUCAGUAUCCAGAAAAGCUUUCUUUUCAGCAUCCUCAGAAUCCUUUCAUGUGAGCUGGGAAAUCAAUUUAUGGCUCUAACAAAUUAAUGUGGACAGCUUGGAUCUGUUGAACUUCUGCUUCUUCGUUUACUGUAUUAUUUUGUGUACUAAAUCUGUCUUCCCUAAAUUAAAAGAUUGGUGUUUUUUUUUUCCUUUCCAAAACAGGUGUGUACUGUAAUAAUCAUGUUCAAACAAUCUAGUAAUAAAUGGCCAGGAACAAAGCAUAGCUCCAUUUCAUCACUGGAUGCAGGGAUCUAGUAGAAUCUGUAUUUACAAUUACAUGCAAUAGCAUGUGUCUUCCUAUAAUGGUUCAUCUUAAUAUUUUUAUUUGUACAUGUUUUGAGGCAUGGAAGAGUUCCUCUGAAUGUGCAGUGGGACUGAUUUAUCGCAGUGAUCGUCCUUGUUUUACAUCUGUGUAAUUACUUUGAAGUCACUGAACUUACGCCGAUACAAAAUCGCAGGAGCAGUGAAUUAGGGUGGCUCUUUUGAUGGAGCUUUUUAUUCUGGUUGAAAUAUUUUACGGAUCCAGGUGAGGAUGAAAUGUUGUACUGAGCUGCGAGCUGUUUUCCUGAUUGGGUUCAUGCUGCUUAUCUGUCAGUACUUCCCCUUCUUAGAAGCUGUAUUUAAUGCGGUUGUUUCUGCUUGCCUUGGAAAUGCAAAGGAGAGUUAGUUGUUUGUAUGAGAGGAGAGUUAAAUCAAAAUCCCUUGGUUUCUAGUGCUGGCUGUAGCUGAACAAGGUGGUUCUGUGCUGUAUUUUUGGUAGAAGCAUUAUUCUGUCCUUCAUCUUCAAGUACAACGGUGAGCUAGCUUCAAUAAAAUAAAAAGGCAGAGACCUUCUUUAGACUCCUCUCAUUUUUCCCGUGUGCUCAAAGCCAUGAAUUAGCUUGCUAAAAGGAAAGCAUGGGGGCAGCAUUAUCAGAAGGCGGAGGGUGUUGGUGGCGUUCAGAACCAAUAAAUGCAAUGCGUGUGCAGGACAUGGGGCGUUGGAGCCUUCAUUAGCUGGUCGCAGCGCUCCUCUCACCUCUGAGCUGCAGACCUUGGCGCUGAGGGUCACAGGCCAGCCGAGAGCUCGGGCUAAGCCAGCCCUGCUGCCCGCACCUUCCCUUCCCUUCCCUGCCUUCCCGAGCCCUUCUGCCAGAGGAAGCAGCCCCCAUCCUUCACCCAGGCCCGGGCAGUGCUGCUGGGGGCUGGGGUUCAGCGCUGCGGUGGUCCCGGCCGCUGAGGUGGCUGCCCCCCUGCCCAUCGGGCUGGGGACGGCAGGUGCUGAGCCUCAUUGGGAGAAUUUAUUGUUAGCUGUUGCUGAUGCUUUAGAGACCACUCUGCUUACCCGCCUAAUAGCCAAAUGCGAGCUAAUAGUCUGUACAGGCCAUUGAAGCCUAAAAUCCUGCUAAUUCCUUCCUCUAAUGAAUAAUCCCUGAUCUCUGUAUGUGCCUUGACUGCAGAAGGGCUAAUUAUGAAAUUCAUUGUAAGGAAAAUUUAGAACUCGUGAUUUCUGUGACUGGGGUUUAUAAAUAAAUAAUGCGUCUGCGUGUGUAUGGUGUACACAGUACAGCUUUUGCAUGGAAAGUUAAAUAUCCCUGAAGAUAUUUAGUUAAAAUAAGUGGGACUGUAAAGCACUUCAUUGCUCGUUGGAUUAAUCGCUCACAGUUUAGGGAAUGGGCUGCCCAUUCCACCCAGAAAUGUCACUCGUAACCCUGAGCAGAGACAUUGGACCUUCUGCUGUUGGUUUUGUGUAAAUAGCUCGGGUGAACGAAGCUGUUCCCCGCUGCAGGUGAGUAGGUGGCAUUCGGAGCGGGGCGUGAGGAGCCCCUGAGCUGGUUUCUGGAGACGCUGUUGCCCUUCCGUGCAGACUAUUCAGAGCACAUGUUUCUGUGGCACGUCCAGAAGUGUAAGAGGAUGGUAAAUCUGGUUCUUUGGGUUUAAGGAAUGCUUCUAAGAAACAAUUCUAGUGAUUCUUUUCAUUUGAGUGUUAGAAACGGGAGGAAAAUAUCUAAGCAACCGAAGUAUUGGGGUAGAGAUGUUGCAUAAAUUAUAAUGAGCACCAGAGGACACAGGAUGUGUUCGUUCCCAAGCUGCAUGAUUAUUUCGUGUUGUGAAGGGUUAGCUUUUCAAUUGCAAAGCUUAAUCACUUUUCAAAUGAAUAUUUCAUAACAGUUAUUUUUUCAUCAAAUACACAACGACAUGCUUAUUUUGUGCCUCAUGUGGUAGACAUUAGUUUUCAGCAGCUUUAAAUUCCUUUUAUUUCCCCUCAUCUCUUAUUCUUGUUUUCAGCGGUGGAUGGGCAAGAAAAUAUUCUUGAACAUGUCCUGACGAGUGGCUAACAGAUAGGAAGAGCCCAGAAGUUUUACGACUCAUAAUCACAAAUUCUUAAAAAAUUCUAAUGUCAUUGGUGCUGAGUGCAGCUUACAUGACUGAUUUAAGAUAUUUUAAAUGUAAUCUAAAAUGAAAACACAACUGUUGGAGACCUCUGCCUCUACUAGAAAAUGCUGUUUAGUGGUACAGCACAGCUGUAGUACUCAUUACUUUUUGUUCCUGGAUGAUUAAAGUUAUCAUAAAAAGACAAGAGGCUGAUUAUCCUCAGUACAGCUUCUUCUUGCUGGAAGAGUUGUGCAAGGGGGACUCUGUAUGGUUAAUAUAUACAUCUAUACUGAUCUGUGUAUCUGUAUAUAGGUAUUUGAGAAUUGCCCUGGCUUAGGGUGAAAUUUGGAUAGUAAAGUGGUGAUGUGCUUGCUGUACUACACAUCCUUUAGACCCAGAGUUGGGGGAGUUUCUGCAGCACUGCUGUAUUGUCUAGUGGCUCCUUUCUAGAUCUCUCGAGUGCUUUGGCAGAUAGAUGAAAAUUAAAUCAGCUUGGAGGUUUGGAAUUAUACUAAUGGGCCAAACUGGCUUGAAAAUAGGAGAAAUGCAAAGCUGACCUUAAGGCACCCUCGCUGCUUUUUCUGUUCUUGUAUUCAAGAAUUUUUUGGUACUCACCUGUCCAGCCUGUUGUUCAAAAUUAAAAUGCAAUUUUCUUUGAAGUAUGCAAUAAAAGAAAUAUUUAUAAAAAUAUCAAGUGUUGUUUUGACUAGACAGAACUUACUCUUUUCGUCUAGCUAUUUUGUUCCCAUACCUGAGAGUGUAUUUCAUUGUGUACUUUGAAGCAUACAAAAUACAGUAUUUCUCAUUUUUCCUUCAAAACAGAAUAUAUCAGUCUCAUUUUAUCAUUUAUAUAAGAGACAAGUCUGGAAUUGAGAGUAGUGCAAUGUGUUGCAUCUGCACCCAUGCAUACUAAAACCCGCGGUCUGAGUGAAGACUGAAGUCCUCACAGCUAUUGAUGCUCUUUCUGGAAGGACUAUUUCAGUGGAUUUUCUAGCCACGUUCUGGUCUAUAUGGAGCAAUUGUUUGGAAUUUCAGCACAUUCAAGUCUUGGAUGGUCUGUUUCAUGGCAGUUAUGUCAGGGUUGUCUGUCCCAUAUUCCCUAGAGUUCUUCCUCUUUUCCUUUCACACGUAGCUUAUUUGCCACGAUGGCCUAUGUUAUUUUCUUCAGUCCAGUACAGGACCCGCAAGCUCCUCAUGACACCAUCGCUCUUGUCCUGUGUUCCUGCACGUGCGAGGCACUUCCUUCUGUCUUUUGUCCACGUAGUCAAAGUUGACUGUGGGACCACAUUAAAAAGCAGUCUUUUUUUUUUUUACGUUCAGUUCUCAGUUAAUACAGAAACCUUUGAAAAAAUGGAUACUUCUUGAUUGGUUAUUUUUGAAACUGUGGUUGUCUAUAUUAUUAAACAUUUUCUGUGCGUGAAAUAAAUACCUUCUAGAUGUCUCAGACACGAAUACUCUUCCAGCCAAGUACAUAACUAUCUGAUAAAGGCAUACUGGAUCUUUCAACUGUGUACUAUGUGGUUAGUAGACAUAAGCCACAAGUACGUAACGUACCAUUCCUGUAUGUUGUCACACUAAUAAUUCAGGUUUCUUUAGAAUUUCAGGUUCUUUAGCGCAUAAAACAACCUGUAAAAAUAGCUGCCUUGCUGCUAGGAAUUGGAUGGUGUUGGGCUGUUGUCGUGAGUGCUCCGAUGCUGUAAACAAAGUAGAUGUUAAUCCAUGUGACCUAAGAGGGAGGGAGCUGACCUGAAAGCACUAGUGAAUUUCUCCUCACAACAGUCCUGGGAGGUAGGAAGUAAUAUUAUUGCUAUCCCUGCUGAGUAUCUGUGGCACGGAAAGAUUGAUUGAUUUGCCCGAGGUCGGGGAGGAAGUCAGAGGCAGAGGUGGGAUUGCAUCCAGACACAUUCUGCAUCCCGUCAGAUGCCUUCAUCACACACCCCUAACCAACCCUUCCCCACUCAUGAUUUUGCUUGUUUGGCAAGGUGCCCUCAUGGUGGUGUCUCUGAAAGCCUUACUCUGCCUUGCUACCCAGUGUGUGCUUUGUCCAGAAAAAAAA